rnacentral:rRNA from 1 species
UACGGAGGGGGCUAGCGUUGUUCGGAAUUACUGGGCGUAAAGCGAGUGUAGGCGGUUGCCCAAGUCAGGUGUGAAAGCCUUGAGCUCAACUCAAGAAAUGCACUUGGUACUGGGUGGCUAGAGGACCGGAGAGGAUAGUGGAAUUCCCAGUGUAGUGGUGAAAUACGUAGAGAUUGGGAAGAACACCAGUGGCGAAGGCGGCUAUCUGGACGGUUACUGACGCUAAGACUCGAAAGCGUGGGGAGCAAACAGG